rnacentral:rRNA from 1 species
GCUGCGAAGCAAUCGGAAGUGGUUCCAAGAAAAGCCUCUAAGCUUCAGUCAUACGAGACCGUACCGCAAACCGACACAGGUGGGCGAGAUGAGUAUUCUAAGGCGCUUGAGAGAACUCGGGAGAAGGAACUCGGCAAAUUGGUACCGUAACUUCGGGAUAAGGUACGCCCUGGUAGCUUGACUGGCCUGCGCCAGAAGGGUGAAGGGGUUGCAAUAAAAUGGUGGCUGCGACUGUUUAAUAAAAACACAGCACUCUGCAAACACGAAAGUGGACGUAUAGGGUGUGACGCCUGCCCGGUGCCGGAAGAUUAAAUGAUGGGGUGCAAGCUCUUGAUUGAAGUCCCGGUAAACGGCGGCCGUAACUAUAACGGUCCUAAGGUAGCGAAAUUCCUUGUCGGGUAAGUUCCGACCUGCACGAAUGGCGUAACGAUGGCCACACUGUCUCCUCCCGAGACUCAGCGAAGUUGAAGUGUUUGUGAUGAUGCAAUCUCCCCGCGGCUAGACGGAAAGACCCCAUGAACCUUUACUGUAGCUUUGCAUUGGACUUUGAACCGAUCUGUGUAGGAUAGGUGGGAGGCUUUGAAGCGUGGACGCUAGUUCACGUGGAGCCGUCCUUGAAAUACCACCCUGGUUUGUUUGAGGUUCUAACCUUGGCCCGUGAAUCCGGGUCGGGGACAGUGCAUGGUAGGCAGUUUGACUGGGGCGGUCUCCUCCCAAAGUGUAACGGAGGAGUUCGAAGGUACGCUUGGUACGGUCGGACAUCGUACCUAAAGUGCAAUGGCAAAAGCGUGCUUAACUGCGAGACCGACAAGUCGAGCAGGUGCGAAAGCAGGACAUAGUGAUCCGGUGGUUCUGAAUGGAAGGGCCAUCGCUCAACGGAUAAAAGGUACUCUGGGGAUAACAGGCUGAUACCGCCCAAGAGUUCAUAUCGACGGCGGUGUUUGGCACCUCGAUGUCGGCUCAUCUCAUCCUGGGGCUGUAGCCGGUCCCAAGGGUAUGGCUGUUCGCCAUUUAAAGAGGUACGUGAGCUGGGUUUAAAACGUCGUGAGACAGUUUGGUCCCUAUCUGCCGUGGGCGUUGGAAUCUUGACGGGGGCUGCUCCUAGUACGAGAGGACCGGAGUGGACGUACCGCUGGUGUACCUGUUGUCUCGCCAGAGGCAUCGCAGGGUAGCUAUGUACGGAAGAGAUAACCGCUGAAAGCAUCUAAGCGGGAAACUCGCCUGAAGAUGAGGAUUCCCUGGAGGCUUGACCUCCUUGAAGGGUCGUUCGAGACCAGGACGUUGAUAGGCUGGGUGUGGAAGCGCAGUAAUGCGUUAAGCUAACCAGUACUAAUUGCCCGUAAGGCUUGAUCCU